GUAGGGUGCGAGCGUUAAUCGGAAUUACUGGGCGUAAAGCGUGCGUAGGCGGUUCGUUAAGUUCGUUGUGAAAGCCCCGGGCUCAACCUGGGAAUGGCAAUGGAAACUGGCGGGCUGGAGUAUGGCAGAGGGGGGUGGAAUUCCGCGUGUAGCAGUGAAAUGCGUAGAGAUGCGGAGGAACACCGAUGGCGAAGGCAGCCCCCUGGGCCAAUACUGACGCUCAGGCACGAAAGCGUGGGGAGCAAACAGGAUUAGAUACCCUGGUAGUCCACGCCCUAAACGAUGCUCACUAGGUGUUGGGGAAGCGAUUCCUUGGUACCGUAGCUAACGCGUGAAGUGAGCCGCCUGGGGAGUACGGCCGCAAGGUUA
rnacentral:rRNA from 1 species